GUCCUAGCCGUAAACGGUGCACGUUUGCUGUAAAAGGAAUCGACCCCUUUUGUGGCGUAGCCAACGCGUUAAACGUGCCGCCUGGGAAGUACGGUCGCAAGAUUAAAACUCAAAGAAAUUGACGGGGGCCUGCACAAGCGGUGGAGUAUGUGGCUCAAUUCGAUGCAACGCGAAGAACCUUACCUGGCCUUGACAUGCAAGUAGUAGAAGGGUGAAAGCCCGACGAGGUAGCAAUACCAGCUUGCACAGGUGCUGCAUGGCUGUCGU
rnacentral:rRNA from 1 species